AGUUGCGAUCAUACCACCACUAAUGCACCAAAUUGCAUUAGAACUCUGAAGUUUAGCAUGCUUGGGCGAGAAUAGUACUAAGAUGGGCUCUGUCAGAACGACUUCCACAGGCACAGGCA
rnacentral:rRNA from 1 species